AUUGAACGCUGGCGGCAUGCUUUACACAUGCAAGUCGAACGGUAACAGGCCGCAAGGUGCUGACGAGUGGCGAACGGGUGAGUAAUGCAUCGGAACGUGCCCAGUCGUGGGGGAUAACUACUCGAAAGAGUAGCUAAUACCGCAUACGAUCUAUGGAUGACAGCGGGGGACCGUAAGGCCUCGCGCGAUUGGAGCGGCCGAUGUCAGAUUAGGUAGUUGGUGGGGUAAAGGCUCACCAAGCCAACGAUCUGUAGCUGGUCUGAGAGGACGACCAGCCACACUGGGACUGAGACACGGCCCAGACUCCUACGGGAGGCAGCAGUGGGGAAUUUUGGACAAUGGGCGCAAGCCUGAUCCAGCAAUGCCGCGUGCAGGAAGAAGGCCUUCGGGUUGUAAACUGCUUUUGUACGGAACGAAACGGCUCUGGUUAAUACCCGGGGCUAAUGGCGGUACCGUAAGAAUAAGCACCGGCUAACUACGUG
rnacentral:rRNA from 1 species